UACGUAGGGUGCGAGCGUUGUCCGGAAUUAUUGGGCGUAAAGAGCUCGUAGGCGGUCUGUCGCGUCGGUCGUGAAAACUUGGGGCUUAACCCUGAGCUUGCGGUCGAUACGGGCAUGACUGGAGUUCGGUAGGGGAGACUGGAAUUCCUGGUGUAGCGGUGAAAUGCGCAGAUAUCAGGAGGAACACCGGUGGCGAAGGCGGGUCUCUGGGCCGAUACUGACGCUGAGGAGCGAAAGCGUGGGGAUCAAAAAGGG
rnacentral:rRNA from 1 species